rnacentral:rRNA from 1 species
GAUGAACGCUGGCGGCGUGCCUAAUACAUGCAAGUCGAGCGAAUGGAUUAAGAGCUUGCUCUUAUGAAGUUAGCGGCGGACGGGUGAGUAACACGUGGGUAACCUGCCCAUAAGACUAGGAUAACUCCGGGAAACCGGGGCUAAUACCGGAUAACAUUUUGAACCGAAUGGUUCGAAAUUGAAAGGCGGCUUCGGCUGUCACUUAUGGAUGGACCCGCGUCGCAUUAGCGAGUUGGUGGGGUAACGGCUCACCGAGGCAACGAUGCGUAGCCGACCUGAGAGGGUGAUCGGCCACACUGGGACUGAGAAACGGCCCAGACUCCUACGGGAGGCAGCAGUAGGGAAUCUUCCGCAAUGGACGAAAGUCUGACGGAGCAACGCCGCGUGAGUGAUGAAGGCUUUCGGGUCGUAAAACUCUGUUGUUAGGGAAGAACAAGUGCUAGUUGAAUAAGCUGGCACCUUGACGGUACCUAACCAGAAAGCCACGGCUAACUACGUGCCAGCAGCCGCCGUAA